GACCUCAGAAGACUGUGAUACAGCCGAAGCAGUUGCAUCACUAUGGUGCCAAUCCCAAUAAGAAAACCAGUGCAAAUCAGAAGUGUCCACAAAUUAGACAAUCAGUUUUGUCCAGAAGAGAUUGAGGUUGGUGAUACUGAGAUACACACACCUCUAAUGGAUAAGCCUAAAUCAAAACUUCAGUCAUACAUCAGCUGAUCCACUCAGAAAUUACAAAGAUGGUGCAACAUGUAAUAGUAUGUUAACAGUAUUGUCAGCCUUACACAGUCAAAUCAUGAGAUUUAAAAAAAAUAAAGGUUGUCUUCUCAUUUG